CGCGGGGGCUGCCCUAUACUGGCAAGUCGAGCGAACAGAUAAGGAGCUUGCUCCUUUGACGUUAGCGGCGGACGGGUGAGUAACACGUGGGUAACCUACCUAUAAGACUGGAAUAACUCCGGGAAACCGGGGCUAAUGCCGGAUAACAUAUAGAACCGCAUGGUUCUAUAGUGAAAGAUGGUUUUGCUAUCACUUAUAGAUGGACCCGCGCCGUAUUAGCUAGUUGGUAAGGUAAUGGCUUACCAAGGCGACGAUACGUAGCCGACCUGAGAGGGUGAUCGGCCACACUGGAACUGAGACACGGUCCAGACUCCUACGGGAGGCAGCAGUAGGGAAUCUUCCGCAAUGGGCGAAAGCCUGACGGAGCAACGCCGCGUGAGUGAUGAAGGGUUUCGGCUCGUAAAACUCUGUUAUUAGGGAAGAACAUAUGUGUAAGUAACUGUGCACAUCUUGACGGUACCUAAUCAGAAAGCCACGGCUAACUACGUGCCAGCAGCCGCGGUAAUACGUAGGUGGCAAGCGUUAUCCGGAAUUAUUGGGCGUAAAGCGCGCGUAGGCGGUUUCUUAAGUCUGAUGUGAAAGCCCACGGGCUCAACCGUGGAGGGGUCAUUGGAAACUGGGAAACUUGAGUGCACAAAAGAAAGUGGAAUUCCCAUGUGUAGCGUUGAAAUGGGGCAGAGAU
rnacentral:rRNA from 1 species